rnacentral:tRNA from 3 species
GGGCUCAUAGCUCAGAGGAUAGAGCAAUCGCCUUCUAAGCGAUCGGUCACAGGUUCGAAUCCUGUUGAGCCCG